AAACUCUUUGGUUCAUCACAUGUGACCUUGUCCAUUUUGGGAAGAGCGAAGUUGGAUUGCUUCCGAAAAAAACUAGAAAAUCUUUGUUUUUGGGAUUGUGAUUUUUCAAAAGAGCUGAAUUUAGCAAAACUAAAUCAUCUUCGCAAGUUAGAGAUCUAUAUCAACACGAGACCUUGGUUGUGGGAAGAUAAAAUCAUUGUGAAGCAGAAUACAAUAUCAAGACUAUCCGAUCUAGAAGAAUUAAGUUUCCCACUGAAUUCUACAUCCGUGAAGAAUGUGCAGAAGAUGGAUCAUUGCCGAUAUUAGACGAGGUCUGUAAAUUGUCACGCUUGACAAGUUUAAAUAUUUGUUCCCGAGAAUCCAAGUCAGGUAAACUUGCAACUAUAUUUUGCAACUUACGUGAAUUCCAUUUGUUUGUUGGUAAAAGACCAGAUUUUUGGUCUCCGGGAGUGUCUUCGAGGACCAAUUCAAUUACAUUGUCCAACCACGAUCUCAUAGAACACUACAAGCCUCUGUUUGAAAAGGCUGAAGAGGUGAUAUUGUGUGGUACUAACUUCACAGGGAGUAGCAUUGAUAUUAGAGACACUAAAGAAUUUAUCAACUUGAAGUACAUGAAGAUUCAGGAUUGCCGGUUCAUUGAGUAUUUGGCUAGGAUGUCACCGGGUAAUAAGAUUGGUGGAAGUCUUCCCCAGUCAAUACCUUUUUCUAACCUUACCAAAUUGAAAAUCAAUAAUUGUCACAGCUUAAAAUACCUCUUCUGCAACUCUGUUGCAAGAUGUCUUAACAAAGUGCAAAAGCUCAAGAUAGAGAAUUGUCAUAUGAUGGAAGAAGUCGUGCUCGGAGAAGGCACAAGUGAUGGAAAUAUGAGUAUGCCCGAAUUACGAAAAAUGACCUUAAUUGAUCUGCCAAGACUCAUACAUUUUUACAAGGAUAACACUUUCUCCGGGCAAAUUCAACCUCUCUUUAAUCAAACGGUUGAAUUCCCUUUAUUGGAAGAGUUGGAUAUUAGUGGUCUGGAAGAUAUAACUGAUAUUUGGGGAGAUAAUAAUGGCAAUGCCUUCUCCUUUUUCGAGCUUAAGAAGUUGAAUGUAUGGAACUGUAAUAAGCUUAAAAAUGUGAUCCCACCUGCCAAGUUGCCUAGUUCACUCACCUCUGAAGUUGACACUCUUGGAAGCAACACAGAUUCGGUCGCUGGCAGAGCUUCUGAAGGACAAGUGAAGGCCAUGAAUUCUCAUAAUCCAAACAAAAAAUUACAAAUUUUUUUGAAGAAAACUGUGCUUGUGUCGAAAUCUGUAUGCAGGAGGACCCCGACGAUAACAGAAGAAAAUUUGAAUGAUCCCUCUGAUAUUUUAGUUCAAGUUCCGUCACAGAACACAAGGGUAUGUCCAUUGGUUGAAAUGAGUUUACAGAAAUUGCCUUGUUUGGAAAAGACAGGGUUGAACUUUGAGGAUCCAUCUGGAGUAGUGAGUACUUACCCAUAUCUUGAAAAAUUAAAUAUAUGUGAAUGCAACAGAUUGGAAAACGUGUUCAUAUCUUCUCGUGAUGCAAAUUUUAAGAAUCUUGAGGACAUGUCCGUCACUAAUUGCAUUAUAAUGAGAGAGAUAAUCGGGGCAGGUGACCAAAAAAUUGCCAAUGGCAUUGUGUUCCCUAAGUUAUGUUCUGUUAAACUAACGGAGUUGUUAAGUUUGACCAGUUUUUGGGGGUACCCGAGUGAAGAAGCUAACAGCCACAAGGUUGAAUUCCCAAAUUUGAAGAGUUUUGAACUCAGCUGUGGCAAAAUUACUAGCUUGGAAAUGAUAGAGUUUGGCAGCAGAGAUGGCUCUAUUUUUCGGCUGGAGAAGUUAGAUAUAAGUUGUGAUGAGGAGAUACAAAUUCCCAACCAAUGGCUACCUCAUUUGAAUAAUCUGGAAAGAUUGUCACUGAGACGCUGUUGGUCAGAUGAGCUGAAAUCUCUACAUUUCGCAAAAUUGAAGGUGCUCUUACUUCAAGAACUUAGUUGCUCAACUAUUUUCUCAUUCCCAGACUUUGAAAGACUUCAACAGCUCCGAGGAUUAGUGAUAACAAAAUGUAAUUCAUUGGAAGCUAUUGUGGAGGUUGUUGAGGGUGAAGAAGCUUCUGACAUGGAUACGGAGACUGUUGCACUAGUUCAGCUGGAAUCAGUCCAUCUUGAGGGUUUGCCAAAACUCAAAAGUUUUAUGCACACAAAGCCUAAGAAUCUUAUCCCCAGUUUAGAGCAUGUGGAAGUGGAGCCCUCCAUUCUUUUCAUGUGCCCUGUCUUUGGAAAUUUCCAACAGCUCAAAAGGUUACAAGUGAUUGAUUGCAGAUUGUUGGAAGGCAUUGUGGAGGUUGCAAGAGGCUAUGAGACGGAUGACAGGAUUAUCACAUUCCCUAAACUCUCUGACAUUCAUCUUAGAGAUUUGCCAAACCUCCAAAAUUUCAGUCCCACUACAAGCUAUAGUUUCAACAUGCCCAAAUUAUUUCAUUUUCAUAUGUUUCGUUGUCCCCGGGUUGAGAAUAAACCCUUAUUACAAAUAAUCGCACAACGGGUACUUGUUUAUUCCGAUGAGCAUCCACAAGGGAUUGUCAUUCUAAACCUCAACGAGUACACAAGAAGAAUAAAAAACCUCGAAAGCGUCGGGGAAUCAAGUAACAGCCAUCAGGAUGUGGAGAUGGAAACCAUAACAGUUGCAGAAGAGGAAGACAGAGUUGUUGAACAAGAGGCAGAGGAAAUCUGACGCUGAAUUGUGAGAUGUGAAAAGUGUCAAGCUCUUAGCUAUUUGAAUUACAAGAUCAACAGACAGGCCUUGUCUUGGAGGUUCUUCGACUCAAGUAACACAUUCUUCGUUACUACUUUAUUCACAUAAGUCAUUACUUUUUUUAUCUUUUGAUAGCAACAUAUAAAUCACUGGAUAGGUUUGUCAUUAGGUUAGGUUCUGCGUUUUUAACAGGUAUGACAGAUUUAACAGGUUAGGCUUAUUUCCAGAUUUCCUCCCUUGCAACUUUUUUAGGCCUCCCUGAAAAGUUACGGUCCGAAAUGUGUACUUACUUACUUUGUUGAUGUCUCGAUAUAAGAAUCAAGAAAGUAAGGAACAGAAACUGAGCUCCGAAAAAAUAUUCAAUGAUGAAUGCAAGACAUUCUACUUUGCGGGUAAGGAAACGAAUGCUAAACAAUCUUGUGUCUGUGGAGAGAGUUCAUCUCCAAGUGCUGAUAAUUUAACCGACUUAAAGAUUAUAAACAUGAUUCUGAAUGAAACACUUCGACUCUACCCACCAGAUGUGAUGCUAACGAGGGAGACGAAUAGAACUGUAAAGCUAGGCAACCUCCAAAUUCC